UACGUAGGGUGCGAGCGUUGUCCGGAAUUAUUGGGCGUAAAGAGCUCGUAGGCGGUGUGUCACGUCGGCCGUGAAAACCUGCAGCUUAACUGUGGGCGUGCGGUCGAUACGGGCAUCACUGGAGUUCAGCAGGGGAGACUGGAAUUCCUGGUGUAGCGGUGAAAUGCGCAGAUAUCAGGAGGAACACCGGUGGCGAAGGCGGGUCUCUGGGCCGAUACUGACGCUGAGGAGCGAAAGCGUGGGGAGCAAACAGG
rnacentral:rRNA from 1 species